AUUGAACGCUGGCGGCAUGCUUUACACAUGCAAGUCGAACGGUAACAGGCCUUCGGGUGCUGACGCGUGGCGAACGGGUGAGUAAUGCAUCGGAACGUGCCCAGAGGUGGGGGAUAACGCAGCGACAGCUGUGCUAAUACCGCAUGUGAUCUGAGGAUGAAAGCGGGGGACCAGGCAGCAAUGUUUGGCCUCGCGCCUUUGGAGCGGCCGAUGUCAGAUUAGGUAGUUGGUGGGGUAAAGGCCUACCAAGCCGACGAUCUGUAGCUGGUCUGAGAGGACGACCAGCCACACUGGAAGUGAGACACGGCCCAGACUCCUGCGGGAGGCAGCAGUGGGGAAUGUUGGGCAAUGGGCGCGAGCAUGAUCCAGCAAUGCGGCGUGCGAGAAGAAGGCCUUCGGGUUGUAAACCGCUUUUGUACGGAACGAAAAGGCUCUGGCUAAUACCUGGGGCUGAUGACGGUACCGGAAGAAUAAGCACCGGCUAACUACGUG
rnacentral:rRNA from 1 species